rnacentral:rRNA from 1 species
UACGGGGGGGGCAAGCGUUGUUCGGAAUUACUGGGCGUAAAGGGCUCGUAGGUGGCCAACUAAGUCAGACGUGAAAUCCCUCGGCUUAACCGGGGAACUGCGUCUGAUACUGGAUGGCUUGAGUUUGGGAGAGGGACGCGGAAUUCCAGGUGUAGCGGUGAAAUGCGUAGAUAUCUGGAGGAACACCGGUGGCGAAGGCGGUGGUCUGGGCCGGAACUGACGCUGAGGAGCGAAAGCGUGGGUAGCAAACAGG